CGCCGUAUGAUUAAUAGAGGACAGUCGGGGGCAUCAGUAUUCAAUCGUAGAGGUGAAAUUCUUGGAUCGAUUGAAGACUAACUACUGCGAAAGCAUUUGCCAAGGAUGUUUUCAUUAAUCAGGAACGAAAGUUAGGGGAUCGAAAACGAUCAGAUACCGUUGUAGUCUUAACCAUAAACUAUGCCGACUAGGGAUCGGGCGGUGUUAUUUCUUGACCCGCUCGGCACCUUACACGAAAGUAAAGUUUUUGGGUUCUGGGGGGAGUAUGGUCGCAAGGCUGAAACUUAAAGAAAUUGACGGAAGGGCACCACAAGGGGUGGAGCCUGCGGCUUAAUUUGACUCAACACGGGGAAACUCACCAGGUCCAGACACAACUAGGAUUGACAGAUUGAGAGCUCUUUCUUGAUUUUGUGGGUGGUGGUGCAUGGCCGUUCUUAGUUGGUGGAGUGAUUUGUCUGCUUAAUUGCGAUAACGAACGAGACCUUAACCUGCUAAAUAGCCCGUGCCGCCUAGGCGGCACGCCGGCUUCUUAGAGGGACUAUCGGCUCAAGCCGAUGGAAGUUUGAGGCAAUAACAGGUUAGUGAUGCUGCUAGAUGUCUUGGGCCGCUCAAGUCUUGCACUGCCUGAGCCAGCAAGUCGUCCACCGGCGCUAAGAAGUCUGGACUGGCUAGUACAAUCCUUCGGG
rnacentral:rRNA from 1 species